CAAAUUAAUCAUGUACUGGUGUUUUUUACUUCCUUCUGGUAACUUCUAGUUCCUCUUAAUUUGAGGGAUUUUUUUAAAGUACCCCAUCAUUUACCUUGAAAAAAUUAGAGUGUUAAAGCAAGCUGUUUACGCUGAAAUAUAUAAGCAUGGGAUAAUAAAAUAGGGUAUUCUAACUAUAUUUAACUGGGUUCUCGUUAGAAUACAAUGAUAAAUAGAGACAAAUUUGUGGUAUUUAUAUUAGGCUGCUAGAGGUGAAAUUCUUGGAUUAGCCAAAGAUAAACUACUGCGAAAGCAUUUCCCAAGGAUGUUCUCAUUGAUCAAGAACGAAAGUUAAGGGAUCGAAGACGAUCAGAUACCGUCGUAGUCUUAACCAUAAACUAUGCGGACCAGGGAUUGGAGGAUGUUACAUGGAUGACGCCUCCAGCACCUUGUGAGAAAUCACAAGUUUUUGCGUUCUAGGGGGAGUAUGGUCGCAAGGCUGAAACUUAAAGAAAUUGACGGAGAACAAAACAAGGAGUGGAGCCUGCGGCUUAAUUUGACUCAACACGGGAAAACUUGCCCGGUCAAGAUACAGGAAUGAUUGACAGAUUGAGAGCUCUUUCUUGAUUCUGUAAGUGGUGGUGCAUGGCCGUUCUUAGUUGGUGGAAUGAUUUGUCUGGUUUAUUCCGAUAACGAACGAGACCUCAGCUUACUAAAUAGUAGUUUUAAUCGUCUACUUGGGUGAAGCUUUUGUGUCAG
rnacentral:rRNA from 1 species